UACAGAGGUCUCGAGCGUUAGGCGGAAUCACUGGGCUUAAAGCGUGUGUAGGCGGAUUGCUAAGUACCUUGUGAAAUCCCACGGCUUAACCGUGGAACUGCUUGGUAUACUGGCUGUCUUGAGCCACUUAGGGGCAACCGGAACAAACGGUGGAGCGGUGAAAUGCGUAGAUAUCGUUUGGAACGCCAAUGGUGAAAACAGGUUGCUGGGAGUGUGCUGACGCUGAGACACGAAAGCCAGGGGAGCGAACGGG
rnacentral:rRNA from 1 species